UCCUCGGUAGCUCAAUGGCAGAGCAUCCGGCUGUUAACCGGAGGGUUGCUGGUUCGAGUCCAGCCCGAGGAGCCA
rnacentral:tRNA from 10 species